UGUAGGCUGCAACUCGCCUACAUGAAGCCGGAAUCGCUAGUAAUCGCGGAUCAGCAUGCCGCGGUGAAUACGUUCCCGGGUCUUGUACACACCGCCCGUCACACCACGAGAGUUUGUAACACCCGAAGUCGGUGAGGUAACCUUUUGGAGCCAGCCGCCGAAGGUGGGACAGAUGAUUGGGGUGAAGUCGUAACAAGGUAGCCGUAUCGGAAGGUGCGGCUGGAUCACCUCCUUUCUAAGGAGA
rnacentral:rRNA from 1 species